AGAGUUUGAUCCUGGCUCAGGAUGAACGCUGGCGGCGUGCUUAACACAUGCAAGUCGAACGAUUAACCCACCUUCGGGUGGUUAUAGAGUGGCGAACGGGUGAGUAACACGUGACCAACCUACCCCUUACAUUGGGAUAACUCAGAGAAAUCUGUGCUAAUACCAAAUACUCCGGAUAAAUCGCAUGGUUUUCCGGGAAAGCUUUUGCGGUAAGGGAUGGGGUCGCGGCCUAUUAGGUAGUUGGUGGGGUAACGGCCUACCAAGCCUGCGAUAGGUAGCCGGGUUGAGAGACUGAUCGGCCACAUUGGGACUGAGAUACGGCCCAGACUCCUACGGGAGGCAGCA
rnacentral:rRNA from 1 species